AAAGUUUAUGUGGAGAAGUUCCAUGUGGCUCAAGAGAAUUAAGGAACUCUGUUGGGUAAUGGACAGCUUGAUUUUCAUCAAGGACUGAAUCAACUGAUUUGUACUCCUUAUGAUAUUGA